AUUGAACGCUGGCGGCAUGCUUUACACAUGCAAGUCGAACGGCAGCGCGGGGGCAACCCUGGCGGCGAGUGGCGAACGGGUGAGUAAUGUAUCGGAACGUAUCCUGUAAUGGGGGAUAACCAGUCGAAAGAUUGGGUAAUACCGCAUACGCACGAGAGUGGAAAGUAGGGGAUCGCAAGACCUUACGUUAUAGGAGCGGCCGAUAUCUGAUUAGCUAGUUGGUGGGGUAAAGGCCUACCAAGGCGACGAUCAGUAGCUGGUCUGAGAGGACGACCAGCCACACUGGGACUGAGACACGGCCCAGACUCCUACGGGAGGCAGCAGUGGGGAAUUUUGGACAAUGGGCGAAAGCCUGAUCCAGCCAUGCCGCGUGCAGGAAGAAGGCCUCGGUUGUAACUAGCUUAGUCUAGAAAAGGGUAGGCGAGGUUAAUACCUACGUGCUUGUAUGUACUGGAGAAUAAGACACCGCGUAACUACGUGCCAGCAGCCGCGGUAAGAGU
rnacentral:rRNA from 1 species